GGGGCUGAUUGGGUUCGAUUCAGGUAUGUCGGAUGCCGGCAGCAUGCCGAGGUUGUAAGGCGGCCUCGUUAAACACCUUACACAAUAAAACGCUGAAAACCAAAAGUUGCUAAAUCAGGCUGAAGCAAUUGUUGCGCCUAUAAUGGGUGCUUCAAUGCCUACGCUUGGUUUUGCUAGCGUACCAGUCUUAGUUCAUUAAUUGAGCUAAGCCACUGUUUGGGCAAGUCUGCGUGCUUGAAUGGUGCCGUCCUAAGCCGCAAGGUUUAGGAAGACAGACUAGUUUCAACUCUGCCUACGGAGUUGAGGCGAAACCAAAGUGGGAUGGGCCUGGAAUAUCCUGUCUACUGGAGCUUUCAGGCCGACACAAACAAUAGACUAAGCAUGUAGCGGCUUGCAUUUCUCUAUCUGGGGACGCGGGUUCAAUUCCCGCCAGCUCCACCA
rnacentral:tmRNA from 3 species